rnacentral:lncRNA from 1 species
UAACAUCUCCAAACAUGAGGGACAAUCCCAAAUUCUUCAUUCAGAUAGCAAUUUUCUUCUUUCUAGCUUAUGUUGUUGUUGUGUCAUCAUUGAUCUUGACAGAUAUUUGAAACUUUUCACUUUCCAUUUUCACAAAAUUGUAGAUUGUUCGUUGCGACUUCUAAGCCUUUUUUUUUUUGGAUUGACAUGCAUUUGAAUGUUAAUUACAAGAUAUAGAGUAAGCAGGGCUAUGACUUUCUUUCAGUUGUGGCAUAGUUUGGUAUAGAAAACUGUAAAAGCAAUGGGAAGUGCUCCCUUGUAUAAUAUAUUUGAAACUCUUUUCACUUUUCAUUUUCUCAAAAUUGUAGAUUGUUCGUUGCGACCUCUAAGCCUUUUUUUUGGAUUGACAGGCAUUUGAAUGUUAAUUACAGACAUAGAGUAACAGUAAGCAGGGCUAUGACUUUCUUUCAAUUGUGGCAUAGUUUGGUAUAGAAAACUGUAAAGCCAUGGGAAGUGCUCCCUUGUAUUAUAUAUUUGAAACUUCCAAUCAUAGCUGGACGGCUUAUCUGUUUCAGUAACUGCAAAAUCUAUCUGUUCAUUUUAGAAUACCAUGGAUUACUGGAGAAGGUUCAUUACUCAUAUAUAUUUGUUAAAACUGAGAAUAAAUUGUUGCCUGAUUUAUUACUUAC